CUUCAGUAAUAAUGUCCCCUACGGAACCUCAGAGAAACAGAAGGCUCGUGAGGAGUAUGAUGAUGCUCUGAGCUCCGGUCAGCAGGCCUUCCUAUUGGAGGAGAGUGAUGAGAGUCCAGAUAUAUUCUCUCUGAGUGUGGGCAGUCUGCCUCCAGGAGAGAGCGCCUCCAUCAGGUUGGAGUACGUCACUGAGCUGGCUGUGCAGGCUGAUGAUGGUCUGAGGUUCUGUCUGCCUGCUGUGCUCAACCCUCGAUACCAACCUCAGGUAAGAGUGUAGAGUAUGGUGAGAAGACCAUGGAGGAGGCUCUGAAGAAAGUUGAGCAAAUGGAGGCUGAUCUUGGAG